ensembl:snRNA U2 U2 spliceosomal RNA
AUCGCUUCUCGGCCUUUUGGCUAAGAUCAAGUGUAAUAGUUAUAAUUUGAGAGGUAAAGUGCAUUAGUUAAAUUCAAAUGUCAAUAAUUUGCUACAAUAUGAUAUAAAUUAUAUAUGUUUAAGUUGUCAGUCACGAUUAGCAAGUGCUGAUUGACCCUAUCUUCUAUUUUGCAUUUGUACGUGGAGGCAGCAGUAC